GAAAGUAAGCAAGGGCAGACGGUGGAUGCCUUGGCUCUCGGAGGCGAUGAAGGACGUGAUAAGCUGCGAUAAGCUUGGGGUAGGUGCAAAUAACCUUUGAUCCCAAGAUUUCCGAAUGGGGCAACCCGGCUGGUAGAAGGCCAGUCAUUCCGUAAGGAAGGCGAACGUGGGGAACUGAAACAUCUAAGUACCCAUAGGAGAAGAAAACAAAAGUGAUUCCGCAAGUAGUGGCGAGCGAACGCGGAACAGCCCAAACCGAUGAUGUUUAGGCAUUGUCGGGGUAGUAGGACCACGUUGUGGCAAGAGAUUAAGGAAGUAGAACGUUUUGGAACAAACGGCCGUAGACGGUGAAAGCCCGGUAUACGACUCUUUAACGAAGCCUAGUGGAAUCCUGAGUAGCGCGGAGCACGAGAAAUUCUGUGUGAAUCAGCGGGGCCCAUCCCGUAAGGCUAAAUACUCCCGAGAGACCGAUAGCGAACCAGUACUGUGAAGGAAAGGUGAAAAGCACCUCGAACAGAGGAGUGAAAUAGUCCCUGAAACCGUCUGCCUACAAGCGGUCGGAGCAACGUAAGUUGUGACGGCGUGCCUUUUGCAUAAUGAACCUACGAGUUACUUUCUCCGGCAAGGUUAAGGGCUUCAGGCCCGGAGCCGAAGCGAAAGCGAGUCUUAAUAGGGCGUGAUAGUCGGAGUGAGUAGACGCGAAACCAAGUGAUCUACCCUUGGUCAGGAUGAAGGUUGGGUAACACCAACUGGAGGUCCGAAUGGGUAUACGUUGAAAAGUGUUCCAAUGAACUGAGGGUAGGGGUGAAAGGCUAAUCAAACUUGGAGAUAGCUCGUACUCCCCGAAAUGCAUUUAGGUGCAGCCUUUAUUUAGUAUAGCAUGAGGUAGAGCGACUGAUUGGAUGCGAGGGCUUCACCGCCUAUCAAGUCCAGAUAAACUCCGAAUGCGUGCUAUAUAUUGAUAAGGAGUGAGGGCGCGGGUGCUAAGGUCCGCGUCCGAGAGGAGAAGAAUCCAGACCAUCAGCUAAGGUCCCCAAAUAACAGUUAAGUUGAACUAACGAAGUCGGACUGCAGAGACAGCUAGGAUGUUGGCUUGGAAGCAGCCAUUCAUUUAAAGAGUGCGUAACAGCUCACUAGUCGAGGAGUCCGGCGUGGAUAAUACUCGGGCAUAAACUGUUUACCGAAGCUAUGGAUGUGUAAACACAUGGUAGGGGAGCAUUCCAACGGCGUCGAAGGUGAAGGAUGACCUUUGCUGGAGCUUUUGGAAACGCAAAUGUAGGUAUAAGUAACGAUAAAGGAGGUGAGAAACCUCCUCGCCGAAAGACUAAGGUUUCCUGAUCAACGUUAAUCGGAUCAGGGUAAGUCGGGACCUAAGGUUAAGCCGAACGGCGAUACCGAUGGAAGAAUGGUUUAAUAUUCCCAUACUACUUUAUGGAGCGAUGUGGAGACGGAGAAGUGACAGUCCUGCCAUCUGACGGAAUAGGUGGUUGAAGAGUGUAGAUGUAGAUUCCUGUAGGCAAAUCCGCAGGGAGAGUCGACCUUGACAGUAUGCCGCGUGCUUGCACAAGGCAAAAUGGACGUAAUCAGGCUCCCAAGAAAAUCCGCUAAGCAUAUUCAUAAAGUACCCGUACCGUAAACGGACACACGUAGUUGGGUUGAAAAUACUGAGGCGCUCGAGUGAUUCACGGUUAAGGAACUAGGCAAAUUGACCCUGUAACUUCGGGAUAAAGGGUCCCUACUGAGAGGUAGGGCGCAGAGAAUAGGUCCAGGCAACUGUUUAACAAAAACACAUGGCUGUGCGAAAUAGAAAUAUGAAGUAUACAGCCUGACACCUGCCCGGUGCUGGAAGGUUAAGAGGAGAGCUCAUCGCAAGAGAAGGCUUGAAUUGAAGCCCCAGUAAACGGCGGCCGUAACUAUAACGGUCCUAAGGUAGCGAAAUUCCUUGUCGGGUAAGUUC
rnacentral:rRNA from 1 species